GAUGAACGCUAGCGGCAGGCCUAAUACAUGCAAGUCGUGGGGCAGCAGGUCUGUAGCAAUACAGAUGCUGGCGACCGGCAAACGGGUGCGGAACACGUACACAACUUUCCUUUAAGUGGGGAAUAGCCCAGAGAAAUUUGGAUUAAUACCCCGUAACAUAGUGAAAAGGCAUCUUUUUAUUAUUAUAGCAGCAAUGCGCUUAAUGAUGGGUGUGCGUCUGAUUAGGUAGUUGGCGGAGUAAUAGCCCACCAAGCCUACGAUCAGUAACUGGUGGGAGAGCACGACCAGUCACACGGGCACUGAGACACGGGCCCGACUCCUACGGGAGGCAGCAGUAAGGAAUAUUGGGCAAUGGACGCAAGUCUGACCCAGCCAUGCCGCGUGGAGGAUGAAGGUCCUCUGGAUUGUAAACUUCUUUUAUCUGGGAAGAAAUCCAUCUUUUCUUGGGUGGUUGACGGUACCAGAUGAAUAAGCACCGGCUAACUCCGUGCCAGCCGCCGCCGUAAUAC
rnacentral:rRNA from 1 species